rnacentral:rRNA from 1 species
GACGAACGCUGGCGGCGCGCUUAACACAUGCAAGUCGAACGGAAAGGCCUGCUUUCCCUUGUGGAUUGCGGGUACUCGAGUGGCGAACGGGUGAGUAACACGUGAGUGAUCUGCCCCCAACUUGGGUAUAAGCCUGGGAAACUGGGUCUAAUUCCCGAUAGGACUGCAGGGUGGUGCCUGUGGUGGAAAACGAUUUUCUAGUGGUUGGGGAUGAGCUCGCGGCCUAUCAGCUUGUUGGUGGGGUAAUGGCCUACCAAGGCGGCGACGGGUAGCCGGCCUGAGAGGGUGGACGGCCACAUUGGGACUGAGAUACGGCCCAGACUCCUACGGGAGGCAGCAGUGGGGAAUAUUGCACAAUGGGCGGAAGCCUGAUGCAGCGACGCCGCGUGGAGGAUGACGGCCUUCGGGUGGUAAACUCCUUUCGACCGCGAGGAAGCCACCUGGUUGGAAGGGUGGUGACGGUAGUGGUAGAAGAAGCACCGGCUAACUACGUG